rnacentral:rRNA from 1 species
CGAAAGCCUGACGGAGCAAGACCGCGUGGGGGAGGAAGGCCUUCUGGGUCGUAAACCCCUUUUCUCAGGGAAGAAGCUCUGACGGUACCUGAGGAAUCAGCCUCGGCUAACUCCGUGCCAGCAGCCGCGGUAAUACGGAGGAGGCAAGCGUUAUCCGGAAUUAUUGGGCGUAAAGCGUCCGCAGGUGGCUUAUCAAGUCUGCUGUCAAAGACCGAAGCUCAACUUUGGAAAGGCAGUGGAAACUGGUCAGCUAGAGAACGGUAGGGGUAGAGGGAAUUCCCAGUGUAGCGGUGAAAUGCGUAGAGAUUGGGAAGAACACCGGUGGCGAAAGCGCUCUACUGGGCCGUAUCUGACACUCAGGGACGAAAGCUAGGGUAGCG